rnacentral:rRNA from 1 species
UACGGGGGGGGCAAGCGUUGUUCGGAAUUACUGGGCGUAAAGGGCUCGUAGGCGGCCAACUAAGUCAGACGUGAAAUCCCUCGGCUUAACCGGGGAACUGCGUCUGAUACUGGAUGGCUUGAGUUCGGGAGAGGGAUGCGGAAUUCCAGGUGUAGCGGUGAAAUGCGUAGAUAUCAGGAGGAACACCGAUGGCGAAGGCAGGUCUCUGGGCCAUAACUGACGCUGAGAAGCGAAAGCAUGGGGAGCGAACAGG